rnacentral:rRNA from 1 species
CCCUUAGAUGUUCUGGGCCGCACGCGCGCUACACUGAUGCAUUCAACGAGCCUAUCCUUGACCGACAGGUCCGGGUAAUCUUUGAAUCUGCAUCGUGACGGGGCUAGAUUAUUGCAAUUAUUAAUCUUCAACGAGGAAUGCCUAGUAGGCGCAAGUCAUCAGCUUGCGUCGAUUACGUCCCUGCCCUUUGUACACACCGCCCGUCGCUCCUACCGAUUGGGUGUGCUGGUGAAAUGUUCGGAUCGGCCGUUUGUCGCGGUUUCCGCGUCAUGUGGCUGAGAAGUUCAUUAAACCCUCCCACCUAGAGGAAGGAGAAGUCGUAACA